rnacentral:ribozyme from 2 species
CCGGUAAUUCCUCCGGGGGCUACUGUCGGUCCCAAGCCCGAAUAAAGGAGGAGGAUUGG